CUAGGAUGACGGGAGCUUGCUCCUUGAUUCAGCGGCGGACGGGUGAGUAAUGCCUAGGAAUCUGCCUGGUAGUGGGGGACAACGUUUCGAAAGGAACGCUAAUACCGCAUACGUCCUACGGGAGAAAGCAGGGGACCUUCGGGCCUUGCGCUAUCAGAUGAGCCUAGGUCGGAUUAGCUAGUUGGUGGGGUAAUGGCUCACCAAGGCGACGAUCCGUAACUGGUCUGAGAGGAUGAUCAGUCACACUGGAACUGAGACACGGUCCAGACUCCUACGGGAGGCAGCAGUGGGGAAUAUUGG
rnacentral:rRNA from 1 species